AGUUCAGAUUGCAGGCUGCAACUCGCCUGCAUGAAGUUGGAAUUGCUAGUAAUCGCGAAUCAGAAUGUCGCGGUGAAUACGUUCCCGGGCCUUGUACACACCGCCCGUCACACCAUGAGAGUCGAUAACACCCGAAGCCUGUGGGCUAACCGCCAAGGAGGCACGCAGUCGAAGGUGGGUUGAUCGAUUGGGUGAAGUCGUAACAAGGUAAC
rnacentral:rRNA from 1 species